rnacentral:rRNA from 1 species
UCUGGUUGAUCCUGCCAGUAGCAUAUGCUUGUCUCAAAGAUUAAGCCAUGCAUGUCUAAGUAUAAAUAGUAUACAGUGAAACUGCGAAUGGCUCAUUAAAACAGUUAUAGUUUAUUUGAUAAUGGAAGCCUACAUGGAUAACCGUAGUAAUUCUAGAGCUAAUACAUGCUAAAAAACCUGACUUUUUGAAAGGUUGUAUUUAUUAGAUAUGAAGCCAAUAUUCCUUCGGGUUUAUUGUGAUGAAUCAUAGUAACUGAUCGAAUCUCUUAUUGAGAUAAAUCAUUUAAGUUUCUGCUCUAUCAGCUUUCGAUGGUAGUGUAUUGGACUACCAUGGCAGUCACGGGUAACGGAGAAUUAGGGUUCGAUUCCGGAGAGGGAGCCUGAGAAACGGCUACCACAUCUAAGGAAGGCAGCAGGCGCGUAAAUUACCCAAUCCUGACUCAGGGAGGUAGUGACAAGAAAUAACAACCUGGCCGCCUCACGGCGUGCACGGGAUUGCAAUGAGAACAAUAUAAAUCACUUAGCGAGGAUCAAUUGGAGGGCAAGUCUGGUGCCAGCAGCCGCGGUAAUUCCAGCUCCAAUAGUGUAUAUUAAAGUUGUUGCAGUUAAAAAGCUCGUAGUUGAACUUCUGGCAGUGUGCAUUCUUGGCUUUACCGUCAGUUUGUAUGCUGCCAUCCGUCUGCAAACCUUGUACGUCCUUCAGUGGAUCGGCAAGGGGAGUUGACAUUUUACUUUGAAAAAAUUAGAGUGUUUCAAGCAGGCUUUGCCAGAAUACUUUAGCAUGGAAUAAUGGAAUAGGACUCUUGUCCAUUUGGUUGGUUAUUGGCCAGGAGUAAUGAUUAAUAGGGACAGUUGGGGGCAUUAGUAUUUAAUUGUCAGAGGUGAAAUUCAUUGAUUUAUUAAAGACUAACUUAUGCGAAAGCAUUUGUCAAGGAUGUUUUCAUUAAUCAAGAACGAAAGUUAGGGGAUCAAAGACGAUCAGAUACCGUCCUAGUCUUAACUAUAAACGAUGUCGACUCGGGAUUGGAAAGGCAUAAAUACCCUUUUCAGCACCGUAUGAGAAAUCCUUAAGUCUUUGGAUUCUGGGGGGAGUAUGGUCGCAAGACUGAAACUUAAAGGAAUUGACGGAAGAGCACCACCAGGCGUGGGACCUGCGGCUUAAUUUGACCCAACACGGGAAAACUUAUUUCGGCAAAACAUGAGUGGGAUUGACAGAUUGAGAGCUCUUUCUUGAUUUUAUGGGGUGUGGUGCAUGGCCGUUCUUAGUUGGUGGAGUGAUUUGUCUGGUUAAUUCCGUUAACGAACGAGACCUUAACCUGCUAACUAGUCGCAGCAUAACAACAUGUUGUGCACUUCUUAGAGGGACUAUGAGUUAUAAGCUCAUGGAAGUUUGAGGCAAUAACAGGUCUGUGA